GCCAGGCAUGGUGGCUCAUUCUUGUAAUCCCAGCAACUCUGGAGGCUGAGACAGGAGGAUUAUGAGUUCAGAGCCAGCAUCAGCAACAGCGAGGUGCUAAGCAAUUCAGUGAGACCCUGUCUCUA
rnacentral:sRNA from 1 species